GCGUGGCCUUUGCCCUCACCCCAAGGGUCGGCUUCCUCGAGCGUCGUCCCUCCACACCUCAGUACCUCCAGGCCGUUUCUAGUAGCUGCGUCCCUCUGGGGGCCGCCCUUCCCUACACCCCCGCUCACCGGCACGGCCCCCCCUUUUCUCUCUAAAGUCUGAGGGCCCGUUCACUCCUUCUGCUUUCCACCCUGUCCUGGGCGGGGCUCAGCCUGCGACACGGCCCCGCCCACGCCGGCGGCCCCGCCCACUCCGCCUCACCUGCGCUGGAGCUCCGGCCAACGCCCGCCAGGCGCAGGGCUGUGUGACAACUCCCAUACACCACCGUCCUCACCUCCUCUCGAAGUCAGAUGCAUCUGUCUCAGAGCCCUUGAGCACUGCACUGGGGCUGAGAGCAGCGACCCUACCUGGUAAAGUUGGAGGUCACUGUGCCGUCUAAAUCACGAGGAGACCUGGAUCCCAUUACCUCCCCAAAAUCCUUCGCUCAGUGAGACUGGGUUGGCUGCUUUUCCCAACUUCAUCCUGCUCCUUCUCCUUCUCCUUUCUGUCUUCCUGCCUCCCCCGUCCUCCAUGUGUUCAGCAAUCUCUGAAAUGAAUCCCCAAAUGCCCCUGUCCCCUCCCCAGAUCCUCCACCUUCCUCUCUCUGUGUGCCCAAAGCACUGACUCUGCCCUUUCCUGGGGGCACUGCUCCCAUAUGUUAUUCACGUUCUAGUAACCUCUGAGCAGGGCUCUGAGUGCCCCAGACCUCCUUCGUGUCUGUAUCUGGCAACAGCAAUGGUUUGCCAAGUGAAUGCGCGUGAUUAAUAAAGUGAGCAGCGUUCAUUGGAAAACACAUUUAAUUUCAAAGUAAACAAAGAUGUUUGUACAUUAAAGUAUUUAAUUAGUGAAACAAUUAUUAUCAGUGUAACAAGCUGAAAAAUACAGCAACUUGAUACAAGACUGAGGUAACAAAAUACUUCACCAAAAAUCUAAAGAAUCCCACAGGGGGCUGAUGUUCAGUGGUUAUUGCGGGUGAGACAAUUCACAAGAAUUAGAGAAAGUCCUUACACAACUGCAUGCAGGGGUUCCGCUGGGGGGAAAGAAAAGAUAAAAGACAGCCCAGGAGAGUGCAACAGAUUUAACAAGAAACGAAUUAAAAUGUAGAAACUGAUUUUCAACUUACUUUGCAGGAUACAUAAGAAAUUGAAAACUACUCUCUACGCAACAUUUUGAAUGCUAAUUGAAAAACCAUGCAUUUUGGCACGAAAUUUAUUAAAGAUCAUACCAUACUAAUAAAUUAAUUACUAAUAUUUCAUUACUGAAUGGUCACAGUCGUUCAGAAAUGAAAAAAAAAAAAAGAGAUUAAUGAUUAGAGAACAGACAGAUGACCCAUCACGUUGCUGCUGCAAAAAGGGAUUUGGGGGCUGCACACAGUAUACACACACUUGUGCCACACGGGACUCCAACGUGGUCCGUGGUACAAGUUCUCAACGCCCAAAAAAUGCAGCUCUCGCUCAUGCUGUACCUGCAUCUGACCAUGAAAUUUAAAACCAAAAAGCCUCUGAAGUAAAUACUGUGAAUAUUCCGACCCUUCUCUCUCAUUCCACCUCAAGAGUCCUCGGCAUGCCCAACCGUAGCCCUGUGCCUGGGUGUUCUCCGCGCCAACCAGCCUCUAGGACGACGACUCCAUCUAGUUCUCGUUGCAACUGAACUCGCAGAGCAAGAGGCUGUCCAGUCUGUUGAGCAUUUUGAAACCUUUCUGGAGGAAUCUGCGCAGGGUUUUUAACCCAGUGUUAGGAGAGAGGCAGGGUCUUGCCAGAGGAGAUGCCAUGUUGAGGAUUAUUUGUUCGUUGAGUGGUCAGCUCCGCGAGGGCAAGGAUUGGGUCUGCCUGUUCUCAGCCAUUUACAGUAUAUCCCUGGUAGAGCCUGGCACACAGGAAGCACUCACUAGAGAUGUGAGUGAAUUAAUGAAUGAACGAAUGAGUGGUUUUGUGCAGAGAAUGUUAUUUCAAAGAGAUUCUUGUAGUUUUUUUUUUUCUUUUUAAUAUAUGAAAUCACCCAACGUGUCAGUACGAUGUAGGGCUGAUUGAAGUCAUUUAUGAAGU